rnacentral:rRNA from 1 species
AGAGUUUGAUCCUGGCUCAGAAUGAACGCUGGCGGCAGGCCUAACACAUGCAAGUCGAACGGAAUUAUAUUGUAGCUUGCUACGGUAUAAUUUAGUGGCAGACGGGUGAGUAAUGUAUAGGAAUCUACCUAGUAGUACGGAAUAAUUGUUGGAAACGGCAACUAAUACCGUAUACGCCCCACGGGGGAAAAAUUUAUUGCUAUUAGAUGAGCCUAUAUUAGAUUAGCUUGUUGGUAGGGUAAUAGCUUACCAAGGCAAUGAUCUAUAGCUGAUCUGAGAGGAUGAUCAGCCACACUGGAACUGAGAUACGGUCCAGACUCCUACGGGAGGCAGCAGUGGGGAAUAUUGGACAAUGGGCGAAAGCCUGAUCCAGCUAUGCCGCAUGAGUGAAGAAGGCCUUUGGGUUGUAAAGCUCUUUUAGUGAGGAAGAUAAUGACGGUACUCACAGAAGAAGUCCUGGCUAACUCCGUGCCAGCAGCCGCGGUAAUACGGAGAGGGCUAGCGUUAUUCGGAAUUAUUGGGCGUAAAGGGCGCGUAGGCUGACUAAUAAGUUAAAAGUGAAAUCCCGAGGCUUAACCUUGGAAUUGCUUUUAAAACUGUUAAUCUAGAGAUUGAAAGAGGAUAGAGGAAUUCCUAGUGUAGAGGUAAAAUUCGUAAAUAUUAGGAGGAACACCAGUGGCGAAGGCGUCUAUCUGGUUCAAAUCUGACGCUGAGGCGCGAAGGCGUGGGGAGCAAACAGGAUUAGAUACCCUGGUAGUCCACGCUGUAAACGAUGAAUGUUAAAUAUGGGAAAUUUAUUUUCUGUAUUACAGCUAACGCGUUAAACAUUCCGCCUGGGGACUACGGUCGCAAGAUUAAAACUCAAAGGAAUUGACGGGGGCCCGCACAAGCGGUGGAGCAUGUGGUUUAAUUCGAUGAUACGCGAGGAACCUUACCAAGGCUUAAAUGUAGUUUGACCGUUUUGGAAACAAGACUUUCGCAAGACAAAUUACAAGGUGCUGCAUGGUUGUCGUCAGCUCGUGCCGUGAGGUGUCAGGUUAAGUCCUAUAACGAGCGCAACCCCUGUUGUUAGUUGCCAGCGAGUCAAGUCGGGAACUCUAACAAGACUGCCAGUGUAAACUGUGAGGAAGGUGGGGAUGACGUCA